rnacentral:lncRNA from 1 species
AAUGACUUUUUAACAAUCGAUACCCGCCAUAUCUUAGGAUCUAGUUGCAUAUGUUGAGUGCUUUUACUUGCAUAGGCAGGAGCAGAGUGAUAAACUGUGAGCAUAGCAUGAAUUAUAAUCCUCUGUUGUUGAAGUUUGCAUACGACCUCUAAAUUUGUUGGGUUGAACCUAUUUUGAGGCCUUCUUUAUACCAGGAAAUAGGGCUACACUCGCCUAAGUGCAAGAGUUCUCUUCUUUUAAAACUCCUAAUAGCUUAUUGUAAACUCAAGUCUGAACCACCUUUAGAAAGUUUUUCAAGUCUGAACCACCUUUAGAAAGUUUUCUUAUUCAUGAAUAGCUGCAUGCUGUUGUGCACUUUUACCUUGUCUGUAAAGCCUCUCGCUGAUAC